UACGUAGGUGGCGAGCGGUGUCCGGAUUUACUGGGCGUAAAGGGAGCGUAGGCGGACUUUUAAGUGAGAUGUGAAAUACCCGGGCUCAACUUGGGUGCUGCAUUUCAAACUGGAAGUCUAGAGUGCAGGAGAGGAGAAUGGAAUUCCUAGUGUAGCGGUGAAAUGCGUAGAGAUUAGGAAGAACACCAGUGGCGAAGGCGAUUCUCUGGACUGUAACUGACGCUGAGGCUCGAAAGCGUGGGGAGCAAACAGGAUUAGAUA
rnacentral:rRNA from 1 species